CCUACGGGUGGCAGCAGUGAGGAAUAUUGGUCAAUGGUCGGGAGACUGAACCAGCCAAGCCGCGUGAGGGAGGAAGGUACAGAGUAUCGUAAACCUCUUUUGUCAGGGAACAAAGACUGGGACGCGUCCCCGGAUGAGUGUACCUGAAGAAAAAGCAUCGGCUAACUCCGUGCCAGCAGCCGCGGUAAUACGGAGGAUGCGAGCGUUAUCCGGAUUUAUUGGGUUUAAAGGGUGCGCAGGCGGUCUGUUAAGUCAGCGGUCAAAGCCCGGGGCUCAACCCCGGCCCGCCGUUGAAACUGGCAGUCGCGAGUUGGAGAGAAGUAUGCGGAAUGCGCGGUGUAGCGGUGAAAUGCAUAGAUAUCACGAGGAACCCCGAUUGCGAAGGCAGCCUGCCGGGGUGCGACUGACGCUGAGGCUCGAAGGUGCGGGUAUCAAACAGGAUUAGAUACCCUAGUAGUC
rnacentral:rRNA from 1 species